rnacentral:rRNA from 1 species
AUUGAACGCUGGCGGAAUGCUUUACACAUGCAAGUCGAACGGCAGCACGGGGGCAGCCCUGGUGGCGAGUGGCGAACGGGUGAGUAAUACAUCGGAACGUGCCCGGUCGUGGGGGAUAACGUAGCGAAAGUUACGCUAAUACCGCAUACGAUCUGAGGAUGAAAGCGGGGGACCUUCGGGCCUCGCGCGAUCGGAGCGGCCGACGUCAGAUUAGGUAGUUGGUGGGGUAAAGGCCUACCAAGCCGACGAUCUGUAGCUGGUCUGAGAGGACGACCAGCCACACUGGGACUGAGACACGGCCCAGACUCCUACGGGAGGCAGCAGUGGGGAAUUUUGGACAAUGGGCGCAAGCCUGAUCCAGCCAUUCCGCGUGCAGGACGAAGGCCUUCGGGUUGUAAACUGCUUUUGCACGGAACGAAAAGGCUCUGGCUAAUACCUGGGGCUCAUGACGGUACCGUAAGAAUAAGCACCGGCUAACUACGUG